rnacentral:rRNA from 1 species
UAGUGCCAGCAGCCGCGGUAAUACAGAGAGUGCAAGCGUUAAUCGGAAUUACUGGGCGUAAAGCGCGCGUAGGUGGAUGCUUAAGUCGGAUGUGAAAGCCCUAGGCUUAACCUAGGAAUUGCACCCGAUACUGGGUGUCUAGAGUGUGGUAGAGGGAAGCGGAAUUUCCGGUGUAGCGGUGAAAUGCGUAGGUAUCGGAAAGAACACCAGUGGCGAAGGCGGCUUCCUGGAUCAAUACUGACACUGAGGUGCGAAAGCGUGGGGAGCAAACAGGAUUAGAUACCCGGGUAGUCCCA